rnacentral:tRNA from 1 species
UAAUAUGAAGCAAAUUAUUGCAUUCAGUUUCGACCUGAAAUUUUAGUAUUAAAUUACUCUUAUUUU